rnacentral:rRNA from 1 species
GACGUAGGGGGCCAGCGUUGUUCGGAAUUACUGGGUGUAAAGGGUUCGUAGGCGGUGUGGCAAGUCGGGAGUGAAAUCUCUGGGCUCAACCCAGAGACUGCUUCCGAAACUGCUGUGCUUGAGUGUGAGAGAGGCUCGUGGAAUUGCAGGUGUAGCGGUGAAAUGCGUAGAUAUCUGCAGGAACACCCGUGGCGGAAAGCGGCGAGCUGGAUCACUACUGACGCUGAGGAACGAAAGCUAGGGGAGCAAACAGG